rnacentral:rRNA from 1 species
GACAGAGGGUGCAAACGUUGCUCGGAUUUACUGGGCGUAAAGCGCGUGUAGGCGGGUGGAUAAGUCGGGUGUGAAAUCCCUGGGCUCAACCCAGGAACUGCAUCCGAAACUGUCUAUCUAGAGUGAUGGAGAGGAAAGCGGAAUUCCCGGUGUAGAGGUGAAAUUCGUAGAUAUCGGGAGGAACACCAGUGGCGAAGGCGGCUUUCUGGACAUCAACUGACGCUGAGACGCGAAAGCGUGGGGAGCAAAC